UACGAAGGGGGCUAGCGUUGUUCGGAAUCACUGGGCGUAAAGCGCACGUAGGCGGAUUGCUAAGUCAGGGGUGAAAUCCUGGAGCUCAACUCCAGAACUGCCUUUGAUACUGGCGAUCUUGAGUCCGGGAGAGGUGAGUGGAACUGCGAGUGUAGAGGUGAAAUUCGUAGAUAUCGCAAGAACACCAGUGGCGAAGGCGGACUCACUGGCCCGGUACUGACGCUGAGGUGCGAAAGCGUGGGGAGCAAACAGG
rnacentral:rRNA from 1 species